AGCUUUGCUCAGUGGCAGUAUCGUAGCCAAUGAGGUUUAUCCGAGGCGCGAUUAUUGCUAAUUAAAGUAUGUCAGAUAAAAUUCCUGCAGUCAUGCCAUUAUAUAAGUAAAGAGAUAAAUGGAAUUAAAAUGCUUUA
ensembl:snRNA U4 U4 spliceosomal RNA